GCCCGGGUGCUGAAAUUGGUAGACAGCCUUGACUUAAAAUCAAGUGAGGUAAAACCUCGUGUGGGUUCGAUUCCCACCCCGGGCA
rnacentral:tRNA from 1 species